GCAGGUUACAGGUCGCAACAUUCGAGAGAUCCCAGCUUCCCAGGACUGUCUUUGACCAAGGUCCCAUCUGUUCAAGGUUCAAUGAGAGCCUUUCAAUAAUGACCUGGGAUAUUGAGAUGUGAGAGGAAAAGAAAUUGUCUGCAACUGCAAGCACUUGGGCGGCACAUGGUGGCCAUCACAUUGAACUAAAGGGACUAAAGGAGAAUAUGUGGUGUGUAUAGUACUCAACAACAACAACAACAAAAACGUCGGGUCCUCCUCACAUGCCUGUUGUGUAGAUCUUCUUAGCCCCAUUGCAAAAAUAAUCUGGCUGCCAAAAUUCUGAUGCAUGUGCUUGAGGAAGAAACUGAUCAAAAUGUGGGCCCUAGAGGACCAUUUCCAUGGUAAAAUGAAUGCAGGACUAUGACACCAUAGUUUGCCUAGUGACCUUUUUUAUCUGACUUUGCCUCGAGGGUGACUCUGUGUCUUGGAGUGGGAAAAAAUGGUGGCUAGGACUGUGACCUCAAGAAAUGCAUGGUCCCAACAGAUCCUUAGAUGUUGAUUUGACAGCCAAGUUGAAGUUGCCCCUUUGCCCUUCUUUCUCCCGAAGUCUUCAGACGAUAAGGGUACACCACACUACAGUGCCAAAAGGUGUAGUCGGCAGACGCGAAGGACGUCUCAGAUGCCACCUCUCUCUCCCCUAUGAACGCAAGAAAACAGAGAUACAUGUACAUGAGUUGCGUUUGCCUUCAUCCAACGAGGGAGAAGCAAAAGGAGCAAAGGAAUGUGUGGGACUCAAGAAGGUGCACGGUGGAGCUGUCAGCCAGAGUCUCUUUGCACGAGGGCUCUUCUUUGUCGUUUUCUGCCGUCUCUGUCCCUAUCCAACAUUGCAUGAGCAAAAAUCAGAAAUUGAGGAAUUCCAAAACCAAGAUCAUGCGCCAAUCAAGUGCAAAGGUUUCACUUUGACCAUAAUGAUGGCCCAUGACAGGGACAUACGAGAGGCAAGCAUGAGGGGGAGCGACGCAUACGGCUGUGACAAUACGCACAAAACCAAGCUGAUCCGUCCACAGUAUACUAUGUGGUACGUCGAGAACACAGGGUUUUAGUUAUCUGUGCCAAACACCAUCUAACAAAAUACAUAUUACUUCACAUGUGAUGAUGUGGAUUCUGCUGAUACUGGGCGAUCCAGAUAGUAUAACGCAGAACCAUGGCGUUAUCUCAGGUUCUUGCCUGGUUUCAAGCUGCAUAGAACCCCAGCAGGUCUACACCUCCAAGCAAUGCUACGGUUUACGUGCGGUCUCUGCUGUGGAUUAAUUGAUGUACCUGCACUAGACUCCACACGCUCGUGAGCAAAGGACGAGGACGAAGAUGAAUUCUGACCACCCCCACGUGUGACCUCUUCUGUCACACGUGUGAUUGCUCAGAGGCAGACGACACGGAGAAAGAAGGAACACCUUUUGUGUCUCCUGUACGCGCGCGCGCGCGUGUGAGAUAGAGAUAGAGAGAGAGAGAGGGGUUCCCAAGAAGCUCAAACUCCAAUAUGUACUGUUCGUUGAUGCUCAAGAUUAACUCUGCAGAUUCACAUACUGUUUCCUGCAGCAAAUGAUGCAGUGGACGACUAUGCACCAGCUUGUCUUUGUUCUUUGACCUAGAAAAUGGUGGGAGUCCUCAGAGUAGAAACGUCAGAGACAAAAGCUCAGGCAAGUGCAUGUCACCAGGAAUCUCUUUCUGGGUUGAGUGGGAACUGGAUUAUCUUUUUUCUUUUAGUUCCUCUGGUUGUCUUCAAUGCAACACUUGGCUGGCCAUGGACCAGCAUGUCUUUGUUCUUUGACACCAUGGUGGAGUCCUCAGAGCAAAACAUUAGAGACAAUCCCAAGCUGAAGCAGAUGUAUAAAGAGAAUGAUAUGAUGAAGAAACUAUUGUCUGGGUUGAUGAAGAACAGAGAGUUGGGACAGGGGACUGUGAUGCUUCCAACCAACAUGUUGCAGGAAGAUCCUAAACCCACUCUGGCAAAGCACGCCCGCUCGUGUCUUCAUGUCCGCAGAGCUUUUGUAUGCUUCAGGACUCGUCCUUGUUGACGUUGCUAUCUGCUGCACGCUUUGGACGUGGAUGCGUCUGCUGAAAGCUCAGUAUAUAUUAUCAGUUGUUCCAUCAUGCGUUAUGUAUUAGCUCUAAUUUUCUUCGGUCAAUGCCAUCAAUUGUCAGAUAUGUUUUGUUCUACGUGCAUUACAACAAAACGUUGUCUUCUCCAGCCUUCUUGUGCUUGACAAUGUUGCACCUCAUUCACUCA